rnacentral:RNase_P_RNA from 1 species
AGGAGCUGAUGAGGGGUCUCCCCAACUUUGGGAGGAAACCUCGCCCACCUCGCGGAGAGCGGGGCGCCUGCAAAGGUGCGGGGUGAGAACCCCGGCAACGGAGCAGAAACGAAACGUCCACCCGUGCACGUGAAGAUGAAACAUGCUAAGUUGUUGAGUUGAGUGUGCCGGGUGGAAGCGUUGAAACGCCCGUCCCCCGCGGUGCAAGGGUAAAUAGGCAUCUAUGAGGCCUCCCCCCGAGAUGCGGGUAACCCGCCUAGAUAAAUGCCCCUAAAACAGAAGGCGAGUUACGGUCAGCACCU